AGAACGAACGCUGGCGGCAUGCCUAAUACAUGCAAGUCGAACGAACUCUUCGGAGUUAGUGGCGCACGGGUGCGUAACGCGUGGGAAUCUGCCCUUGGGUUCGGAAUAACAGUUGGAAACGACUGCUAAUACCGGAUGAUGACGAAAGUCCAAAGAUUUAUCGCCCAGGGAUGAGCCCGCGUAGGAUUAGCUAGUUGGUGAGGUAAAGGCUCACCAAGGCGACGAUCCUUAGCUGGUCUGAGAGGAUGAUCAGCCACACUGGGACUGAGACACGGUCCAGACUCCUACGGGA
rnacentral:rRNA from 1 species